AGAGUUUGAUCAUGGCUCAGAAUCAACGCUGGCGGCGCGCUUAACACAUGCAAGUCGAGCGAGAAAGUCCCCUUCGGGGAAUGAGUAAAGCGGCGGACGGGUGAGUAACACGUGGGUUACCUGCCCUUGAGUGGGGAAUAACCUCGGGAAACUGGGGCUAAUACCGCAUACGAUCCUUCGGGAUGAAAGCCUUCGGGCGCUCAAGGAGGGGCCCGCGGCCGAUUAGCUAGUUGGUAGGGUAAUGGCCUACCAAGGCGUCGAUCGGUAGCCGGCCUGAGAGGGCACACGGCCACACUGGCACUGAGACACGGGCCAGACUCCUACGGGAGGCAGCAGUGGGGAAUCUUGGACAAUGGGGGAAACCCUGAUCCAGCGACGCCGCGUGACCGAUGACGCCCUUCGGGGUGUAAAGGUCUUUCGGCGGGGACAAUAAUGAUGGUACCCGCAGAAGAA
rnacentral:rRNA from 1 species